AAAGUAAAGUAAUCUUUAUUUAAAGUCGGGUUGCAUAUAUACAUAAUAACAAAGAACAUAAGCUCUUAAGAGCUCUUUAACCGACUGAUAUUAAUAAACAAAACAUACAUGUAAUAACAUCAGAUACACAUACAACACAAACAUACAGACAUCACAUAUAUAUAUUAAUACAUAGAUAGCACAUGCAGAAUAAAAGCUAAGCAAGAUAUAUUAAAACAAAUGUCUAAUACCAGCAC
rnacentral:lncRNA from 1 species